rnacentral:rRNA from 1 species
UACGUAGGGACCGAGCGUUGUCCGGAUUCAUUGGGCGUAAAGAGCUCGUAGGCGGCUGCUCAAGUCGAAUGUGAAAACUCGAGGCUCAACCUCGAGCCUGCAUUCGAUACUGGGCGGCUAGAGUCUGGUAGGGGGGAUCUGGAAUUCCUGGUGUAGCGGUGGAAUGCGCAGAUAUCAGGAGGAACACCGGUGGCGAAGGCGGGAUCCUGGGCCAGUACUGACGCUGAGGAGCGAAAGCAUGGGGGAGCAAACAGGG